UAGCACAGGGUAUGCAUGCCAUAGGUGCUA
rnacentral:piRNA from 1 species